rnacentral:lncRNA from 1 species
UAUGUUUAAUCUCAGUUAUAUUCUUCUCCCGUGCUUUCUCACAUGGUAUCAGAGCUUUGGUGAGAUAAUUAUCGUUGUGUGUCAUUCCAACGACAUCCGGGAAGAAAUAACUCAGUCACCGUGCAAUUUUCCGGUGACCUAAGUGACUAAUUGCGUCAAAGCACUAAUUAUCAGCGUUGUGCAAAAAACAACCCCACCACAAGGUUCCCAAGAGAGAUCCGACCAAACCCCACCGGAAAACUGCCCUUCACGCGCCCGAUUUAUCAAGGUAGAUCCGACUCACGCGCCCCACGCGCGCGUGAGCACUGUUCCGGUGAGAUUUUGACGAAGGUCCUUCAGGGCAGUUGGAUCGCACUCAAAUUCCGACCCUACCCAUAUUUUUACUUUUCAAUUCCGACCACUUUGAAGUUUUUCCGGUAUCUACAGUAAUUUUCCGGCAAAAACAAUAUUUCCUUCAUCUAAUUCAGCAAGUUUUCAGUUUUCAGUUGAUUCUUUCUGAUUAUUUGGUGAUAAUCCAACGAUGUCUUGGGGACUCGAUGCUUUCGGGUCUAGAAACCUGGGUUCGAUGUUAACUACAUAUGUAACAAGCUCUACAUAUGAUUUAUAUGCACCAGCUUGAGGGGGAGUGUUAGAAUAUGUAAUAGUAGAACCUAAUCCAAUGUGUAUUAGGAGUAGCCUAAUCCAAUGUUUAUUAGGAGUAGGAUAGGUUAUGUGUAUAUAUAUAGGGCUCAUUGUAUCAUGUUGUAAUAGUAGAACCUAAUCCAAUGUGUAUU